GAUGAACGCUGGCGGCGUGCCUAAUACAUGCAAGUCGAACGAAUCUUCUUCGGAAGAUGAGUGGCGAACGGGUGAGUAAUACAUAGGUAACCUGCCCCUGUGCGGGGGAUAACAGGAGGAAACUCCUGCUAAUACCGCAUAGCCAUGAGCACCGCAUGGAGCUCAUGCCAAAUAUCCUUUCGGGGAUAGCGCAGGGAUGGACCUAUGGCGCAUUAGCUGGUUGGCGGGGCAACGGCCCACCAAGGCAACGAUGCGUAGCCGGCCUGAGAGGGGGGACGGCCACAUUGGGACUGAGACACGGCCCAGACUCCUACGGGAGUCAGCAGUAGGGAAUUUUCGGCAAUGGGGGAAACCCGGACCGAGCAACGCCGCGUGAGCGAAGAAGGCCUUCGGGUCGUAAAGCUCUGUUGUAAAGGAAGAACGGCGCAUACAGGAAAUGGUAUGCGAGUGACGGUACUUUACCAGAAAGCCACGGCUAACUACGUGCCAGCAGCCGCCGUAA
rnacentral:rRNA from 1 species